CGACCUCAGAUCAGACGUGGCGACCCGCUGAAUUUAAGCAUAUUAGUCAGCGGAGGAAAAGAAACUAACGAGGAUUCCCUCAGUAACGGCGAGUGAAGAGGGAAGAGCCCAGCGCCGAAUCCCCGCCCCGCGGUGGGGCGCGGGACAUGUGGCGUACAGAAGCCCCCCUCCCCGGCGGCGCUCUCGGGGGACCCAAGUCCUUGUGAUCGAGGCCGCAGCCCGCGGACGGUGUGAGGCC
rnacentral:ncRNA from 1 species